CAGCAGCUUCUAGUACAAUGAAAGCUAGUCAUCAGAGAGGAGCCUUUCAGAUCAGUUCCAGCUCAUCGGCCUCUUGCCCCUGUUUCUGAAGUACAUGGUGUCUUAGGAAAUAUGGACAUCCCUUUCACCUCUGGGGAGGACCUAGGAUCAACUCUGAGAACCCAUUUGUUGGAUUACAACCACACAUAACUGCAGAUCCACGUGAUCCAACACCCUUUUCUGAAUUCUGUGGGCAACAGGCACAGAUGUAGUGCACAGAUACUAGGCAAAACACUCAUAUGUAUAAAAUACAUGCUUAAAAUACCUAAAUAAGUACUACUGGCUACAAGGAACAAUUAGUCAGUGGCCAUCAGCUAUACCAUCGAGAACUGGCUAUGUGGACAGAUGAUCUAAUGUUGGCCUAUAAGUCAAAGAAAGACAAACUCCAAAAACUUCCUGUUGAUUCUCAGUAUAGUAAUCAUGUGUCUGUGUUACUAAUAGUUAAAAUUGCCUCAUUAGGAGAAUUUCCUUUACAUCCAUAUAUUUCACAAUAGUAUGAGAAAUGGGUGUUUAAAAUGGCAAUAAUCCAUUUUGCAAGUGCUUAAAAAAAGUAGGAGCAAUGGAAAUCUGUUACAACCAUCAUUAUACUUUGGAUGAGGAAAGUAAAAGAAAAUGAGAAAGGAAAGCUAAGGCGGUGGUGUGGACAAAGUGUUUGAAUCAGAAGCAGGAGCAAAGGAAUGCCAGGAAGCAAGUGCAUUUUUUCUUUGGAGAGCCACAGUAGCCUGUUAACCAGAGAAACUACGUUUGUGUGGAGAGCACAGAUGAUGAUAAAACUGAAGAGUGGGUAAUGUGAAGAAGGUCAGAUGAUGAGGAAUCAACUCAAUAUUCAGGAAUCAGAAAUCCACUCUGUCAUUGUGUUCCUAGAAGAGAAGUUAUGUUGAGCACAGAAAAUGGAAGAAGGUCAAUGUAAGAAAAAAAAGUUCAAACCAAACAGUCAACGUUAUAUACCAUGGAGAUCCUGUGUACUUGCAAUACACUGGUUUAGGCAUAAAUUAUCUCCUAAAUAAGAAAAGCAUCUCUGUAAAUAAGUGAUCAUAAUAAAUAAA